rnacentral:rRNA from 1 species
UACGAAGGGGGCUAGCGUUGCUCGGAAUCACUGGGCGUAAAGCGCACGUAGGCGGAUUUGUAAGUCAGGGGUGAAAUCCCGAGGCUCAACCUCGGAACUGCCUUUGAUACUGCAAAUCUCGAGUCCGGAAGAGGUGAGUGGAAUUCCUAGUGUAGAGGUGAAAUUCGUAGAUAUUAGGAAGAACACCAGUGGCGAAGGCGGCUCACUGGUCCGGUACUGACGCUGAGGUGCGAAAGCGUGGGGAGCGAACAGG